ACUGUGCACCCUCCUGGUUAACAGCCCCACGGCCCGAGAGCUGUGCUUUACAUGAAUGUCUUCUGUUAAAGCAGCUCGUGUGGCUUCUGCACCCUGGUGGAGCCAACACACGUGCCUGUCACGGAGGUGAGGAGUGAGUGAGUUCUCACCAGCAUUUGACGCUGACCUUCCGGAGACAUGGCGUCCCUGAGAGCCUGCAGCCUGCCAGAGCAGAGAGCCACCCGCUGGCCGUUCUGUUGGAAUUUCGGAGUUCCUGUCUUUCAGGCAACAUCUGCCAAGCGCGGUUUGUGUAAGGAAACCCAUUCUGUCGUGUCUGCCGGGGCCCAGGGCGGCUGCUGUGCGGGAACCAGCUUUUGUGGCCCAUGGAGCAACGACUCAGUCUGGGGCUCGGCUACUCUCCGGCCCGGGGUACUGGCAUUUCCCUGGGGCCCAUGGGGCGAGUGCCCCUAUUUUUCCCAUGAGGCCUCAGCCAAGAGGAGGUUCGGGAAGAAAGGAAAACACAGGUGAGGAGAGAGAAGGGCGGGCAGAGAGGUACCACGCCAUUAGUGCUGAUGGGGAGAGGCGGCUCCAGCCCGGCACUGCUGUCCUUACGAGGCAUGUUUCCUUUUUAUUCGGAGGAAGAGAAGCAGAGGAACACGUCAUGGAGACGGACCGAGUUGAAGGAGCCAGGGAUGGU
rnacentral:lncRNA from 10 species